GAUGAACGCUGGCGGCGUGCCUAAUACAUGCAAGUCGAGCGAACAGACGAGGAGCUUGCUCCUCUGGCGUUAGCGGCGGACGGGUGAGUAACACGUGGAUAACCUACCUAUAAGACUGGGAUAACUUCGGGAAACCGGAGCUAAUACCGGAUAAUAUAUUGAACCGCAUGGUUCAAUAGUGAAAGACGGUUUUGCUGUCACUUAUAGAUGGAUCCGCGCCGCAUUAGCUAGUUGGUAAGGUAACGGCUUACCAAGGCAACGAUGCGUAGCCGACCUGAGAGGGUGAUCGGCCACACUGGAACUGAGACACGGUCCAGACUCCUACGGGAGGCAGCAGUAGGAAAUCUUCCGCAAUGGGCGAAAGCCUGACGGAGCAACGCCGCGUGAGUGAUGAAGGUCUUCGGAUCGUAAAACUCUGUUAUUAGGGAAGAACAAAUGUGUAAGUAACUAUGCACGUCUUGACGGUACCUAAUCAGAAAGCCACGGCUAACUACGUG
rnacentral:rRNA from 1 species